GAUGAACGCUGGCGGCGUGCCUAAUACAUGCAAGUCGAGCGAACGGACGAGAAGCUUGCUUCUCUGAUGUUAGCGGCGGACGGGUGAGUAACACGUGGAUAACCUACCUAUAAGACCGGGGUAACUUCGGGAAACCGGAGCUAAUACCGGAUAAUAUUUUGAACCGCAUGGUUCAAAAGUGAAAGACGGUCUUGCUGUCACUUAUAGAUGGAUCCGCGCUGCAUUAGCUAGUUGGUAAGGUAACGGCUUACCAAGGCAACGAUGCAUAGCCGACCUGAGAGGGUGAUCGGCCACACUGGAACUGAGACACGGUCCAGACUCCUACGGGAGGCAGCAGUAGGGAAUCUUCCGCAAUGGGCGAAAGCCUGACGGAGCAACGCCGCGUGAGUGAUGAAGGUCUUCGGAUCGUAAAACUCUGUUAUUAGGGAAGAACAUAUGUGUAAGUAACUGUGCACAUCUUGACGGUACCUAAUCAGAAAGCCACGGCUAACCACGUGCCAGCAGCCGCGGUAAUACGUAGGUGGCAAGCGUUAUCCGGAAUUAUUGGGCGUAAAGCGCGCGUAGGCGGUUUUUUAAGUCUGAUGUGAAAGCCCACGGCUCAACCGUGGAGGGUCAUUGGAAACUGGAAAACUUGAGUGCAGAAGAGGAAAGUGGAAUUCCAUGUGUAGCGGUGAAAUGCGCAGAGAUAUGGAGGAACACCAGUGGCGAAGGCGACUUUCUGGUCUGUAACUGACGCUGAUGUGCGAAAGCGUGGGGAUCAAACAGGAUUAGAUACCCUGGUAGUCCACGCCGUAAACGAUGAGUGCUAAGUGUUAGGGGGUUUCCGCCCCUUAGUGCUGCAGCUAACGCAUUAAGCACUCCGCCUGGGGAGUACGACCGCAAGGUUGAAACUCAAAGGAAUUGACGGGGACCCGUACAAGCGGUGGAGCAUGUGGUUUAAUUCGAAGCAACGCGAAGAACCUUACCAAAUCUUGACAUCCUUUGACAACUCUAGAGAUAGAGCCUUCCCCUUCGGGGGACAAAGUGACAGGUGGUGCAUGGUUGUCGUCAGCUCGUGUCGUGAGAUGUUGGGUUAAGUCCCGCAACGAGCGCAACCCUUAAGCUUAGUUGCCAUCAUUAAGUUGGGCACUCUAAGUUGACUGCCGGUGACAAACCGGAGGAAGGUGGGGAUGACGUCAAAUCAUCAUGCCCCUUAUGAUUUGGGCUACACACGUGCUACAAUGGACAAUACAAAGGGCAGCGAAACCGCGAGGUCAAGCAAAUCCCAUAAAGUUGUUCUCAGUUCGGAUUGUAGUCUGCAACUCGACUACAUGAAGCUGGAAUCGCUAGUAAUCGUAGAUCAGCAUGCUACGGUGAAUACGUUCCCGGGUCU
rnacentral:rRNA from 1 species